UGUGCAAAGGUAGCCUAAUCAUUAGUCUUUUAAUUGAAGGCUGGUAUGAAUGGUUGGCCGAGAUAUUAACUGUUUCAUAAAAAUUUAUAAUAUGAAUUUUAUUUUUUAGUUAAAAAGCUAAAAUAUAUUUAAAAGACGAGAAGACCCUAUAAAUCUUUAUAUUUAAGUUAUUAUAAUUUUAUAGAUUUUUUUUGUUGUAAUAAUUAUAAUAUUUUAUUGGGGUGAUGUUAAAAUUUAAUAAACUUUUAAUUUUAAAGGUCAUUAAUUUAUGAAUAAUUGAUCCAUUAUUAGUGAUUAAAAAAAUAAGUUACUUUAGGGAUAACAGCGUAAUUUUUUUGGAGAGUUCAUAUUGAUAAAAAAGAUUGCGACCUCGAUGUUGGAUUAAGAUAUAAUUUUAGGUGUAG
rnacentral:rRNA from 1 species